rnacentral:lncRNA from 1 species
UAAAUAAAACCUUAGAAAGGGAAAAGUGAUGUGAGAAAAAUAGAGCAGUUUAGAGAAGAGUUGUAUACAUUUGCAAUUUUUAGAUGAUGCAGAGCUUUUUGAGAAGUUGAAAUUUGAGAAAAGGCCUGAAGGAGCUGAGGAGGUGGGUGAGUCAUGAAUGCAUCUCGGGAAGGAGUUCCCCAGGCUGAGGGAGCUGCACCUGAGGAAACCCAGGAGGCAAAGGUGGUCCUGGUCAGGAUGAUGAGGAGGUCCGUGUGGCUGGAGCAGGUGAGCUAGGUGGAGAGAGGCCGUAGAUGAGGGCAGAGCUGCUGCGGGAGCCAAACGUGUAAGGAUCUUUUCGGGCAGUGAGAGGACGUUGGUUUCUCACAGCAGAGAAGGGACAUCAUCUGACAUAUUUUAAAAGUAUCUCUCCGGCUCCCUUGUGGACUGUAAGGGACCAAGAGUUGAAACAGGCACCCAGGAGGAGUCCUUCCAGCAACUGAGAGGACUUGGUCCGAUUCUACCUCCGGAACAAUGCUCAGCCCACAGCCCUCAUUCCCUCCGUGAUGAACAGUAACUGUGGACUUUUGACCUUCCUCUUGAGCUUGGUCUGAGUCUUGGCAUUUACAACCACGGCUCUAGUUGCAACUCACCCAUGCUCAAUGUGGGACAUUUUGUAAGACAACUGGCCUGGACACAUGUAAAAAAGUCACUAUCAUUAAAAUAAAAGCCCCCUAGGUCAUUUAUUUACUCCAGAUGGGAAACGUUUGCUGCGGGAGACUCAAAGGAGACACUGAGUGCAAGGAUUUGGGUGAGGUGUCAGAGUGGGUGGCAUUCCAAACCCUAUUGGGCUGGUGGGCCCCUAACAGGACAGGACUUGGAGUGAAAGGAUGGCGGAUGACUCACGAUUUUACGAGACACUUCCAGGACAAGGAGAAGGCAAAGGAGAGAUGCAGCCUUGGAGAGCCUAAUUCCUCUCUGGAGUGCGUGCUUUUCCCUGAUGUCAAGAUUCUAAAUUAUUCCACUGUUUACCUGCUGCGUGACUUGACAAAAGGGUAAUGUGAUUUAGAAACUCAGCGGUCAUCCAGAAAGUCUAUUUUCAGCCAGGCGGUUACCAGGCAAUGUCAGGGGAUUGGACUCUGCUAUGUUAAAUCCCAAAUUUAAUCCAGGAGCUGAUGUGUCUGUGAAUAUCAGAAAAGCACAACAGCCUUUUGCGUGGGUCGUAUCAAUUCCAUACAGUAUUUUCCUUGCGGAAGUAAGAAUUAACACAUCCAGAAAGCUAGGCUUAGCACCUUUGGAUCUCCUGAUGAAAAUUUCAGCAUAUUGUUAGGAUGUGAGCAUUUAUAUACAUACCCUGCUCUGCCUGCUACACAAGACAGAAAAAUAAAAAAUUACCCUGGAAGAAUAACUUAGAUCUUGGAGAAAAGAAGAAUGCAGGUGGCAAUAUAUAAAGAAUUCCCUGAAGAUACAGUUUGCAGCCUUUUCCUUUGUUUUAAAAAGUCUUUUGUUUUGCUGCAGCAAUAGAAAUAAAAUAUAAACAUAAUUUGAAAGUAAGAGGAGAAGCAGAAAGAUAGUCUUUGUUCAUAGGUUUGUCUGUUUUGGAGACGGUAAUCAUAAUGACAAACCCAAGGACAACUAAUAUUUAUUGAGUGCCUACUGUGUGCCAGGCAUAAUAAGCACUUUAUACCCUUAACUAAUUUAAUCCCUGUGACAAACCUAUUAGGAAGCUGCUAUUAUUAUCCUCAUUUUAAGGGAGCUGAGGCCCAGAGAAAUUAAACAACUUGUGCAAGGUCACAUGGCCAGUAAUUAACAGAGAUAAUAUUCAAACUGUCUCUUGAGGUAAGCUAAAUAAAACUCUAUCCUAUUUUUUGUAGAGCCAUAUAUCUUUAUUCUCUCCUUUCACUAUGGUAAAGUUUGUUCUGGUCCCUCUGUAGGAUUACAAUAUGUUGAAAAUGCGGGUCCCACGUAAUUCUACCAAGUCAGAUCACUAAGUAGCCUUGUCAGGGGAGGGGUUCCCAAUUCGUGACUCUGGACCUUGGGGCAUCAAUGAUUUAUUGUUAUCACUAACAAUAGCUCGCUAUGUGUCAUGUCUUCUGCUACAUAUUUUAUGUUUUAUUUCAGCUUUUAAAAAGAUUUUCAUGAUUCAUGAUUGUUGUAAAGCAGGACUAGGCUGUAUGUACAUAUUUGAAAUGAAAGUUUCACAAAACAUCAUUUACCUUUACUAUGUGUGACACACUUUGCUAUUUUUCAUUUAAUCUAUUUUAUUUAAACAUGCUGACUGUGGCCGAGUGCAGUAGCUCACGCCUGUAAUCCCAGCACUUUGGGAGGCUGAGGCGGGUGCAUCACCUGAGGUCUGAAGUUCGAGAUCAGCCUGGCCAACAUGGUGAAACCCUGUCUCUACUAAAAAUAAAAAAUUAGCCGGGUGUGGUGGCACGCACCUGUAGUCCCAGCUACUUGGGAGGCUGAGGCAGGAGAAUCGCUUGAACCCAGGGGGCAGACUUUGCAGUGAACCAAGAUGGUGCCACUGCACUCCAGCCUGGGAGCCAAGAGCAAAACUCUGUCUCAAAAAAAA